GAUGAAGAACGUAGUGAAAUGCGAUAAGUAAUGUGAAUUGCAGAAUUCAGUGAAUCAUCGAAUCUUUGAACGCACAUUGCGCCCGUCAGUAUUCUGGCGGGCAUGCCUGUUCGAGCGUCAUUACGCCCCUCAAGUCCCCUGUGGACUUGGUGUUGGGGAUCGGCGAGGCUGGUUUUCCAGCACAGCCGUCCCUUAAAUUAAUUGGCGGUCUCGCCGUGGCCCUCCUCUGCGCAGUAGUAAAACACUCGCAACAGGAGCCCGGCGCGGUCCACUGCCGUAAACCCCCCAACUUUUUAUAGUUGACCUCGAAUCAGGUAGGACUACCCGCUGAACUUAAGCAUAUCAAUAAGCGGAGGA
rnacentral:misc_RNA from 1 species